UUUUCCUACGGGACGCAGCAGUGAGGAAUAUUGGUCAAUGGUCGGGAGACUGAACCAGCCAAGCCGCGUGAGGGAUGAAGGUACAGAGUAUCGUAAACCCCUUUUGUCAGGGAACAAAGGCGGGGACGCGUCCCCGGAUGAGUGUACCUGAAGAAAAAGCAUCGGCUAACUCCGUGCCAGCAGCCGCGGUAAUACGGAGGAUGCGAGCGUUAUCCGGAUUUAUCGGGUUUAAAGGGUGCGCAGGCGGUCUGUUAAGUCAGCGGUCAAAGCCCGGGGCGCAACCCCGGCCCGCCGUUGAAACUGGG
rnacentral:rRNA from 1 species